AGGGGCCCUGGUCCUCAUCCAUGGAGAAGUGGUGCACAAGAGCAAGCAGAACCUCUCUGACCACUCGCGCCAGGCCUAUACUUUCCACCUCAUGGAGGCCUCUGGUACCACCUGGAGCCCAGACAACUGGCUCCAGCCAACAGCUGAACUGCCCUUUCCCCCACUGUACACCUAAAGGCUUUCACAGGGCAGGAGCCCUGGCCCCUCCCGGGUGAAGCUGUGGGCUGCAAACAGCAGCGUCUUGCUCAGCCUCUUGGUUGCAACAGGGAGGUCUUGUCUCCCCUCCUGGGCUUUCCUCCUGCCCUGUGGGCAGCAGCCUGGGCUGGGUCAGGAGCUUCCCUAAGAUCUUCAUCUGUCUGCCUCCCUACUGCCCCAACAUAGCCUUGAGGAGGCUUCUCAGCCAUCAAAGGGUUCUGGCUCCUUCUCACUUUCCUCUCCUCUCAGAUGGAACUCUGGUUAUUAUGGUGUUAGUUAUUGAAUAAAAAUGACUUCAGAAUGCAGCU